UGGGGAAUUUUGGACAAUGGGCGCAAGCCUGAUCCAGCCAUGCCGCGUGCAGGAUGAAGGCCUUCGGGUUGUAAACUGCUUUUGUACGGAACGAAAAGACUCUGGUUAAUACCUGGGGUCCAUGACGGUACCGUAAGAAUAAGCACCGGCUAACUACGUGCCAGCAGCCGCGGUAAUACGUAGGGUGCGAGCGUUAAUCGGAAUUACUGGGCGUAAAGCGUGCGCAGGCGGUUAUGUAAGACAGAUGUGAAAUCCCCGGGCUCAACCUGGGAACUGCAUUUGUGACUGCAUAGCUAGAGUACGGCAGAGGGGGAUGGAAUUCCGCGUGUAGCAGUGAAAUGCGUAGAUAUGCGGAGGAACACCGAUGGCGAAGGCAAUCCCCUGGGCCUGUACUGACGCUCAUGCACGAAAGCGUGGGGAGCAAACA
rnacentral:rRNA from 1 species